GAUGAACGCUGACAGAAUGCUUAACACAUGCAAGUCUUUGGCGAAGCUGUGCUUGCACAGCCUAGCCAAGGCGGACGGGUGAGUAACGCGUAAGGAACUUGCCCUGCAGUCAGGGAUAACAGACGGAAACGACUGAUAAGACCUGGUAAAGUCAGGCGGACUCAUGUCCAGCCUGAUGAAAAGAGAUGAUGCAGGAGAGCCUUGCGUCCUAUUAGCUUGUUGGUGGGGUAACGGCCCACCAAGGCGAUGAUAGGUAGCCGGCCUGAGAGGGUGGACGGCCACAAGGGGAAUGAGAUACGGCCCUUACUCCUACGGGAGGCAGCAGUGGGGAAUAUUGGACAAUGGGGGCAACCCUGAUCCAGCAAUUCUGUGUGCACGAUGAAGGUUUUCGGAUUGUAAAGUGCUUUCAGCAGGGAAGAAAAAAAUGACGGUACCUGCAGAAGAAGCGACGGCUAAAUACGUG
rnacentral:rRNA from 1 species